rnacentral:rRNA from 1 species
CAGCAGCCGCGGGUAAUACGUAGGGCGCAAGCGUUGUCCGGAAUUAUUGGGCGUAAAGAGCUCGUAGGCGGUCUGUCGCGUCUGGUGUGAAAUCCCGAGGCUCAACCUCGGGCUUGCAUCGGGUACGGGCAGACUAGAGUGCGGUAGGGGAGACUGGAAUUCCUGGUGUAGCGGUGGAACGCGCAGAUAUCAGGAGGAACACCGAUGGCGAAGGCAGGUCUCUGGGCCGCAACUGACGCUGAGGAGCGAAAGCAUGGGGAGCGAACAGGAUUAGAUACCCGCGUAGUCCCUGUCUCUUAUA